UGGGGAAUAUUGGACAAUGGGCGCAAGCCUGAUUCAGCCAUGCCGCGUGAGUGAUGAAGGCCCUAGGGUUGUAAAGCUCUUUUGUGCGGGAAGAUAAUGACGGUACCGCAAGAAUAAGCCCCGGCUAACUUCGUGCCAGCAGCCGCGGUAAUACGAAGGGGGCUAGCGUUGCUCGGAAUCACUGGGCGUAAAGGGUGCGUAGGCGGGUCUUUAAGUCAGGGGUGAAAUCCUGGAGCUCAACUCCAGAACUGCCUUUGAUACUGAGGAUCUUGAGUUCGGGAGAGGUGAGUGGAACUGCGAGUGUAGAGGUGAAAUUCGUAGAUAUCGGGAGGAACACCAGUGGCGCAAGCGAUCACCUGGGCUAGACCUGACGCUGAGGGACGAAAGCGUGGGGAGCAAACGGGAUUAGAUACCCCGGUAGUCCACGCGGUAAACGAUGGAUACUAGGUGUGAGUGGUAUCGACCCCACUUGUGCCGCAGCUAACGCGUUAAGUAUCCCGCCUGGGGAGUACGGCCGCAAGGUUG
rnacentral:rRNA from 1 species